GUCUGGCUGGCUCUGUUGGUAGAGCAGGUGACUCUUGAUCUCAAGGUCUUGAGUUCGAGCCCCAUGUUGGAUG
rnacentral:tRNA from 1 species